ensembl:lncRNA
GAACAAGUAAUAUUGGCAAUAUGUUCUUUGUUUUACCUGCAGUGUCCAUGGGUAAAAAUGAUUCUAACAAGUCUUCAUCAGUAAUUAAGAUCACCAAAGAAAAUACUACACUCACCCUUCUGUAAAAUGCAGGAAUGUCAAAGUCAGUAUCACUGUCAUACAGAAUUAAAUGCUCUUUGGAGUAUCACAAAACUAUGACAAAAACAAAUAUACAUAUUAUACACUAGGAAUCUAGGAGCAUAAAUGGAUUGUUAAUGUAAGCAGUUUUUCUUCAAAGGAAGAGAAUUUAAAAUGUAUCAGUAAAGCAUUUAUUUAUGAAAGACUUGAGAUGCAGGAGGUAUUUGAAAGCCUUGCCAUGUCAUGUGGUUAAGUGAAAAAGUCAUGAUUACUACUUAUACAGUAAGCAUUUAAAAUUAUUUUGAAAAUGUUUACCACACUAGUUUAAAUUCAAACUGUGAUAUAUGGCCAUGGUGGCAAGCAUUUCUCAGCAAGCAUCAAAUUUUCGAAGAACUGUAUAUAGUGAAGCAGUGUUCAUACGAAUGUGGGCAGUUUAUGACUAUGGCACAAGGGAGACAAGCUGACUUGGUGAAUUUUGUUUUCAUUAUGAGACUGUUGGUUUAAUAAUUAUAGGGGAGAAGAUAAUUAAAUCAAUCUUGUUGGAUUUGUUUUUAAUAUCAAAUUAAACAUGUUAGUAUUUUUUUUCUUGGACUAUUCCUUUACCUUUUUCUUUCUUUUCCCCUCUCCUCUCUCUCUCUCUGCCUCUCUUUUUUCUUUUUCUUUUUCUUUUUUUUUAAGAGAGAAGAGAGAAAUUUAUUUCCCUUUUUGAGAUCAGUAUGAGUAUAUUUCAAUGAAAGCAUUUUUCCCCCCUACUUCUUCCACUAAUAAAAAAUACAACAACAAUUUUUCUGGUACGUAACUUACUGUUGCCUUUCCUCUGUUUUUUUUUUUUUUUUGGAUGGUUGGCUUUUUUGUUUUGUUUUGUUUGCUUGUUUGUUUGUUUGUUCAUUGAGGUGCUGUUAUGGUGUAUGUCUGGUGCCUACAAUCAGGAGUAUAAAUCAGUAUAUCAGCUUAUAAGUAGAAGGAGAUCAUUUUUCAGAUACUAAAGCAUUCCCAGCUAUCGGUAACUUGACUCUGAGAGCUAGAUACCAUAGAUUUUGCUAUCAGAUAACAUAUUUUGUUGUAAUGCAAUGUUGCUUAAAAAGAUAUUUUCUAUCCAGUUUAGGUUUUUAU